AGAGUUAAAAAGUACGUGAAACUGUUGAAAGGGAAACGAUUGAAGUCAGUCGUACCGACGAGAAAUCAGCUCACUGAACGUGCAUUUGCGGGCGUAUGAGAGCUUCACGGCCUCAUUGUUUGCAAUGUGCAUUUUUCGGGUGUACUUUUUCGUAUGGUAGGUCAAUGUCGGUUUUAAUCGCCAUAAAAUGACCGGAGGAAUGUGGCUUCGAUUUCGGUUGAAGUGUUAUAGCCUUUGGUAGAUGUGGUGAUUGAGACCGAGGAUUGCAACGAAUACCUUUUAGGCUAUCCGUCUGACCUCUGAAGGUUGCUUAGGUACCGAAAGCAUGCUUACGGCUAUUUAAGUUGACAGUCAAAAGGUUAGAACGGAUUACAUUCGUUAAGGAUGUUGACGUAAUGGCUUUAAACGACC
rnacentral:rRNA from 1 species